rnacentral:rRNA from 1 species
UACAGAGGUCCCAAGCGUUGUUCGGAUUCACUGGGCGUAAAGGGUGCGUAGGUGGCGGGGAAAGUCUGAUGUGAAAUCUCCGAGCUUAACUCGGAAAUGGCAUUGGAAACUACCUUGCUCGAGGGUUGGAGGGGGGACUGGAAUACUUGGUGUAGCAGUGAAAUGCGUAGAUAUCAAGUGGAACACCAGUGGCGAAGGCGAGUCCCUGGACAACUCCUGACACUGAGGCACGAAAGCUAGGGGAGCAAACGGG